UUUGCAGCCUGCAGUAGACCCCGGCGCUAGAGCGCUUUUGGCAGUAAAGCUACUGUUGUGUCUGCUGACCAGGCCGUGAAGCGCGCAAAGAUGACGUUGUAGAAACCGUUUUGGAUGUUCUUUUUGUUUUGUUGGGUACCUCGGACCGUGUCCUUUAAUCUUCGUUUUUGGUGCCAUUACUAGGAAGUUCUUUUCAAAAGGUUAUAAUACCGCAGUUCCGAAGAAAAACAGCUAAGUAAUUGAGAAAAUGCCGCCUCUUGAAACGCCUGUAGCGAUGGAAACAGAAGAGAUAGUAAGGACUAAGUAUCAUAGAACACAGGAGUUUAAAGACCUAAUCUCAGUGAUAAAGAAGCUAUUGUCAGAGCGUUUGAAAAGUAUCAGGGAAUUGAGAUAACAGAAAUGUGCAAGCCUGAUGGGGCACGAAAUCGAUUUACUUAAAUUAAGCCAAACGAGAAAUUCUUACAGCAUGCAGAAAAAAAGAAAAGAAAUCAAGUAAAGCGAAGAGACACCUAGAGGGCCAGUCCAGGAGGUACAAUCUUGGCAUAAUAGGAAUACCUGAAACAGGACAAGUCAAAUGAAGCUGAAACUAUAAUUAAGGAACUAAUCGUAGAAAAAUCUACAGAGUUGAAGAAGGAACCAGAUCUGCAAAUGGAAAAAGUUAACAGGGUAUCAUUAAAAUUUAAUGAAAGCAA